GCCAACUUCCAUACCACGUUGAAUACACCGGUUCUCGUCCGAUCACCGAAGUUAAGCAACGUCGGGCGCGGUCAGUACUUGGAUGGGUGACCGCCUGGGAACACCGCGUGACGUUGGCU
rnacentral:rRNA from 1 species